rnacentral:rRNA from 1 species
UAUGUGAUCGUCUCUCGCAUAUCAAUAAGCGGAGGAAAAGAAACUAACAAGGAUUCCCCUAGUAACGGCGAGUGAAGCGGGAAGAGCUCAAAUUUGAAAUCUUAAAGGGUUUCCCUUUACGAAUUGUAGUUUAAAGAAGUGUUUUCUGUUGAGGUUUUGGUAAAAGUUCUUUGGAAUAGGACAUCAUAGAGGGUGAGAAUCCCGUAUUUGACCUUUACUUUCAACUUUGUGAUACACUUUCAAAGAGUCGGAUUGUUUGGGAAUGCAGUCCAGAAUGGGUGGUAAAUUUCAUCUAAAGCUAAAUAUUGGCGAGAGACCGAUAGCGAACAAGUACCGUGAGGGAAAGAUGAAAAGAACUUUGAAAAGAGAGUUAAACAGUACGUGAAAUUGUCAAAAGGGAAGCGUUUGACACCAGUGUUGUUUUUCUGAAAAUCAAUUAAAGAACUGUUCAUGCUAAGUUGUUUAGACUUUAUCAGCUAACUGUUUAGUUUUGAGCCUUUCUUUAAUGCACUUUUCAGUUAACAAGUCAACAUCAAUUCCUUUUGCUGUAAAAAAGCUUGAGGAAGGUGGCUUGAGAUUCGUCUUAAGUGUUUAUAGCCUCUUGCCUAUGCAGUCGGAGAGAUUGAGGUCUGCAGCGUAGAUCCUUCGGGGCUAAAUGCAUUUGUGCUAAGUUAUAGCAUUUUAUAGACAACUUGUUGACUAUGAUUUGUCUUGUAGCUUACUCGCUUAUGUUAUUUUACCUACGCUUAGGAUGUUGACACACGCGCGUGCUCG